rnacentral:rRNA from 1 species
GCUUAGAAGCAGCCACCCUUUAAAGAAAGCGUAACAGCUCACUGGUCAAGUGCUCCUGCGCGGAAGAUGUAACGGGGCUAAGUAAUACACCGAAGCUCUGGAUCCGUAAGGAUGGUAGACGAGUAUUGGAGCAACCUGCGAAGGUGUACCGUGAGGUAUGCUGGAGGAACUUCAAGAGCUCAUGCUAGCAUAAGUAGCGAUAAGGGGAGUGAGAAACUCCCCCGCCGAAAGUCCAAGGUUUCCUGGGCCAGGGUAAUCCUCCCAGGGUUAGUCGGCACCUAAGGCGAGGCCGAAAGGCGUAGUCGAUGGAAAACAGGUUAAUAUUCCUGUACUUCUUUUAUGGAGUGAUGCGGGGGUGGAGAAAGGUAGCUCUGCUGGGCGAUGGUUGUCCCAGUUCAAGCGUGUAGGCAGUGGAAUUUGGCAAAUCCGGUUCCAUAAUGUCGAGACGUGAUGUGGUGAACUUCGGUUCUUAAGAGAGUGAUCCUAUGCUUACAAGAAAAGCCGCUAAACGUUGAAAUAAGAGAAACCGUACUCUAAACCAACUCAGGUGGACAGGUAGAGAAUACUAAGGCGAUUGAGUGAAACCAGGCUAAGGAACUCGGCAAAUUAACACCGUAACUUCGGGAUAAGGUGUGCCUCCAGCGUGUAGAGACUUGCUCUUGAAGCGUAGUGAGGUUGCAGAGAAGAGGGGGUAGCGACUGUUUAUCAAAAACAUAGCACUAUGCAAAAUCGUAAGAUGACGUAUAUGGUGUGACGCCUGCCCGGUGCUGGAAGGUUAAAAGGAUGGGUUAGCGCAAGCAAAGCUCAGAAUUGAAGCCCCAGUAAACGGCGGCCGUAACUAUAACGGUCCUAAGGUAGCGAAAUUCCUUGUCGGGUAAGUUCCGACCUGCACGAAUGGCGUAACGACUUCCCCGCUGUCUCGGCCUGGUGCUCAGCGAAUUUGAAAACCGGGUGAAGAUGCCCGGUACCCGCAGCAAGACGGAAAGACCCCGUGAACCUUUACUGCAGCUUGGCAGUGAUGAUUGGGUGUAUUUGUGUAGGAUAGGUGGGAGACUUUGAAGUGGGAGCGCUAGUUCUCAUGGAGUCGUCCUUGAAAUACCACCCUGAUACAUCUGGUUAUCUAACCAUGGUCCCUUAUCGGGACUUGGGACAUUGCCUGGUGGGUAGUUUGACUGGGGCGGUCGCCUCCCAAAAAGUAACGGAGGCGCCCAAAGGUUCCCUCAGACCGAAUGGAAACCGGUCGAAGAGUGCAAAGGCAUAAGGGAGCUUAACUGCGAGAGAGACAUCUCGAGCAGGUACGAAAGUAGGGCUUAGUGAUCCGGUGGCUCCGCAUGGAAGGGCCAUCGCUCAACGGAUAAAAGGUAC